rnacentral:rRNA from 1 species
CCUAAAUUCUAGCCCACAAAAUUCAUAUGCCCCCCUCCUCCUCCUCUCCUCUAUAAUAAAACAUUUUUUCUUUAAGUAAAGGCGAUUGAAAAUUUUCUAAGCGCUUCAGAAAAAGUACCGCAAGGGAAUGAUGAAAUAGCUAUGAAACAGUAUUUAAGCCCCCAAUAGCAGAGACUCACCCUCGUACCUUUUGCAUCAUGGUCUAGCCAGUCUCCCCAAGCAAAACGAAACUUUUAGUUUGACCUCCCGAAACUAAGCGAGCUACUUCGGAACAGCCCCCUAGGGGCCAACCCGUCUCUGUUGCAAAAGAGUGGGAAGAUUUCUAAGUAGAAGUGACAAGCCUAACGAGCUUAGAGAUAGCUGGUUAUUCAGGAAAAGAGUCUCAGCUCUUCCUUAAGUUUUCUUAUGUAACUAUAACCUAAACAACACCAUAAACUUAAGAGCUAUUCAAAUAAGGCACAGCUUAUUUGAAAUAGGACACAACCUACAACACCGGGUAAAUAUGGGCAUAAAAAAAUUAAGUGGGCCUAAAAGCAGCCACCUUCCGAAAAGCGUCAAAGCUUAACUACUAACUGCCCUUAAUCUCCUUAUCUUCCCUGAACCCUUCUUUACUACUGAAUUAUUUUAUACACUUAUAAAACCAAUUAUGCUAGAACUAGUAACAAGAAAUUUGCCUUUCUCCUGAAUGCAAGCAUAAACCAAAAUGGACACGCCAUUGGCUUUUAACGUAAAUGUUAAUUUUAUAGUACCCAAAGCCAGAAUAAUCUAUAAUCCUCAACGUUAACCUAACACCAGAGCAUUUCAGAAAAGAUUAAAAGAGAGAGAAGGAACUCGGCAAACCCUAGCCCCGCCUGUUUACCAAAAACACCGCCUCUUGCUUAAAUAUAAGAGGUCCAGCCUGCCCAGUGACCUAGAUUCAACGGCCGCGGUACUCUAACCGUGCGAAGGUAGCAUAAUCACUUGCCCUCUAAAUAAGGACUUGUAUCAACGGCACCACGAGGGCUUCACUGUCUCCUCUCUCCAAUCAGUGAAACUGAUCCUCCCGUGAAGAAGCGGGAAUAAGUCUAUAAGACGAGAAGACCCCAUGGAGCUUAAGACCCAUCAUGCAACUUAUCCCUCCUUAGACCACCAUAUGCUAAGCCCUGCAUGAUAGUCUUAGGUUGGGGAGACCACGGAGAAUAACCUAACCUCCAUGACAAACGGACCAAAUCCUUAUCUACGAGCCACACCUCUAAGAAUUAAUAAAUUAAUGUUAAUGACCCAAAUAUUUGACUAACGAACCAAGUUACCCUGGGGAUAACAGCGCAAUCUACUUCAAGAGCCCCUAUCGACAAGUAGGUUUACGACCUCGAUGUUGGAUCAGGGUAUCCUGGUGGUGCAGCCG